UACGAGGGGUCCUAGCGUUGUUCGGAAUCAUUGGGCGUAAAGAGCUCGUAGGUGGCUUAGUAAGUCAGGUGUGAAAGCCCAAGGCUCAACCUUGGAAGUGCACUUGAAACUGCAUAGCUUGAGUACGGUAGAGGUAAGUGGAAUUCCUGGUGUAGUGGUGAAAUACGUAGAUAUCAGGAGGAACAUCGGUGGCGAAGGCGGCUUACUGGACCAG
rnacentral:rRNA from 1 species